rnacentral:rRNA from 1 species
CACGUAGGGGGCGAGCGUUGUCCGGAAUCAUUGGGCGUAAAGAGCUCGUAGGCGGCUCAGUAAGUCGGGUGUGAAACCCCCAGGCUCAACCUGGGGACGCCACCCGAUACUGCUGUGGCUAGAGUCCAGUAGGGGAGUGUGGAAUUCCCGGUGUAGGGGUGAAAUCCGUAGAUAUCGGGAGGAAUACCAGCGGCGAAGGCGGCCUUCUGGACGGUGACUGACGCUGAGACGCGAAAGCGUGGGGAGCAAACAGG